UACGGGGGGGGCAAGCGUUGUUCGGAAUUACUUGGGCGUAAAGGGCUCGUAGGCGGCCAACUAAGUCAGACGUGAAAUCCCUCGGCUUAACCGGGGAACUGCAUCUGAUACUGGAUGGCUUGAGAUUGGGAGAGGGAUGCGGAAUUCCAGGUGUAGCGGUGAAAUGCGUAGAUAUCAGGAGGAACACCCGUGGCGAAAGCGGCUCUCUGGGACGGUACUGACGCUGAGACGCGAAAGCGUGGGGAGCAAACAGG
rnacentral:rRNA from 1 species